UACGAAGGGGGCUAGCGUUGUUCGGAAUUACUGGGCGUAAAGGGCGCGUAGGCGGCCCUGUUUGUCGGGCGUGAAAUCCCGGGGCUCAACCCCGGGGCUGCGCCCGAGACGGCGGGGCUGGAGGCCAGGAGAGGCUCGCGGAAUUCCCAGUGUAGAGGUGAAAUUCGUAGAUAUUGGGAAGAACACCGGUGGCGAAGGCGGCGAGCUGGCCUGGAUCUGACGCUGAGGCGCGACAGCGUGGGGAGCAAACAGG
rnacentral:rRNA from 1 species